UACGUAGGGUGCGAGCCUUGUCCGGAAUUACUGGGCGUAAAGAGCUCGUAGGUGGUUUGUCGCGUUGUUCGUGAAAACUCACAGCUUAACUGUGGGCGUGCGGGCGAUACGGGCAGACUGGAGUACUGCAGGGGAGACUGGAAUUCCUGGUGUAGCGGUGGAAUGCGCAGAUAUCAGGAGGAACACCGGUGGCGAAGGCGGGUCUGCUGGGCCGUUGCUGACGCUGAGACACGAAAGCGUGGGGAGCAAACAGG
rnacentral:rRNA from 1 species